rnacentral:rRNA from 1 species
GACGAACGCUGGCGGCGUGCUUAACACAUGCAAGUCGAACGAUGAAGCUGGAGCUUGCUCUAGCGGAUUAGUGGCGAACGGGUGAGUAACACGUGAGCAAUCUGCCCUUGACUCUGGGAUAACUGCGGGAAACUGUAGCUAAUACCGGAUACUUUCACCGGGGGGCAUCCUCUGGUGAUGAAAGAAUUUCGGUCAAGGAUGAGCUCGCGGCCUAUCAGCUUGUUGGUGAGGUAACGGCUCACCAAGGCGACGACGGGUAACCGGCCUGAGAGGGCGACCGGCCACACUGGGACUGAGACACGGCCCAGACUCCUACGGGAGGCAGCAGUGGGGAAUAUUGCACAAUGGGCGCAAGCCUGAUGCAGCAACGCCGCGUGAGGGAUGACGGCCUUCGGGUUGUAAACCUCUUUUAGUAGGGAAGAAGCGAAAGUGACGGUACCUGCAGAAAAAGCACCGGCUAACUACGUGCCAGCCGCCGCCGUAAGAC